UACGUAGGGAGCAAGCGUUGUCCGGAUUUAUUGGGCGUAAAGAGCUCGUAGGCGGCUUAGAAAGUCAGGUGCGAAACCUCCAGGCUCAACCUGGAGACGCCACCUGAUACUGCUGUGGCUAGAGUCCGGUAGGGGAACACGGAAUUCCCGGUGUAGCGGUGAAAUGCUUAGAUAUCGGGAGGAACACCAGUGGCGAAGGCGGUGUUCUGGGCCGGAACUGACGCUGAGGAGCGAAAGCGUGGGUAGCAAACAGG
rnacentral:rRNA from 1 species